GACAGAGGAUGCAAACGUUGUUCGGAAUUACUGGGCGUAAAGCGCGUGUAGGCGGCUAUGCAAAUCGGAUGUGAAAGCCCUCGGCUCAACCGGGGAAGUGCACCCGAAACUGCAAAGCUAGAGUCUCGGAGAGGAUCGUGGAAUUCUCGAUGUAGAGGUGAAAUUCGUAGAUAUCGAGAGGAACACCGAUGGCGAAGGCGGCGAUCUGGACGAGGACUGACGCUGAGGCACGAAAGCGUGGGGAGCAAACAGG
rnacentral:rRNA from 1 species